rnacentral:rRNA from 1 species
GUUGGUAAGUCCCGCAACGAGCGCAACCCCUGUCCUAUGUUGCCAGCAUUAAUUGGGGGACUCGAUGGGAGACUGCCGGCGUCAAGCCGGAGGAAGGUGGGGAUGACGUCAAGUCAUCAUGCCCCUUAUGACCUGGGCUGCACACGUGCUACAAUGGCCGGUACAAUGGGCUGCGAUGCCGCGAGGCGGAGCGAAUCCCUUAAAACCGGCCCCAGUUCGGAUCGGAGGCUGCAACUCGCCUCCGUGAAGUCGGAGUUGCUAGUAAUCGCGGAUCAGCAUGCCGCGGUGAAUACGUUCUCGGGGUUU